UAGGGAAUCUUCCACAAUGGACGAAAGUCUGAUGGAGCAACGCCGCGUGAGUGAUGAAGGGUUUCGGCUCGUAAAACUCUGUUGUUGGAGAAGAACGGGUGUCAGAGUAACUGUUGACAUCGUGACGGUAUCCAACCAGAAAGCCACGGCUAACUACGUGCCAGCAGCCGCGGUAAUACGUAGGUGGCAAGCGUUGUCCGGAUUUAUUGGGCGUAAAGCGAGCGCAGGCGGUUUUUUAGGUCUGAUGUGAAAGCCUUCGGCUUAACCGGAGAAGUGCAUCGGAAACCGGGAGACUUGAGUGCAGAAGAGGACAGUGGAACUCCAUGUGUAGCGGUGAAACGCGUAGAUAUAUGGAAGAACACCAGUGGCGAAGGCGGCUGUCUGGUCUGCAACUGACGCUGAGGCUCGAAAGCAUGGGUAGCGAACAGGAUUAGAUACCCUUGGUAGUCCAUGCCGUAAACGAUGAGUA
rnacentral:rRNA from 1 species